GACGAACCGUGCAAACGUUAUUCGGAAUCACUGGGCUUAAAGGGUGCGUAGGCGGGUUGCCAAGUCUGUGGUGAAAUCCUUCAGCUUAACUGGAGAACUGCCGUGGAUACUGGCGACCUCGAGGGGUGUAGGGGCUUGCGGAACUGUGCGUGGAGCGGUGGAAUGCGUUGAUAUGCACAGGAACUCCGGUGGCGAAAGCGGCGAGCUGGACACCUUCUGACGCUGAGGCACGAAAGCUAGGGGAGCGAACGGG
rnacentral:rRNA from 1 species